UGGGCGUUAAGUUGCAGGGUAUAGACCCGAAACCCGGUGAUCUAGCCAUGGGCAGGUUGAAGGUUGGGUAACACUAACUGGAGGACCGAACCGACUAAUGUUGAAAAAUUAGCGGAUGACCUGUGGCUGGGGGUGAAAGGCCAAUCAAACCGGGAGAUAGCUGGUUCUCCCCGAAAGCUAUUUAGGUAGCGCCUCGUGAACUCAUCUCCGGGGGUAGAGCACUGUUUCGGCUAGGGGGCCAUCCCGGCUUACCAACCCGAUGCAAACUGCGAAUACCGGAGAAUGUUAUCACGGGAGACACACGGCGGGUGCUAACGUCCGUCGUGAAGAGGGAAACAACCCAGACCGCCAGCUAAGGUCCCAAAGUCAUGGUUAAGUGGGAAACGAUGUGGGAAGGCCCAGACAGCCAGGAUGUUGGCUUAGAAGCAGCCAUCAUUUAAAGAAAGCGUAAUAGCUCACUGGUCGAGUCGGCCUGCGCGGAAGAUGUAACGGGGCUAAACCAUGCACCGAAGCUGCGGCAGCGACACUUUAGUGUUGUUGGGUAGGGGAGCGUUCUGUAAGCCGUUGAAGGUGUCCUGUGAGGGGUGCUGGAGGUAUCAGAAGUGCGAAUGCUGACAUAAGUAACGAUAAAGCGGGUGAAAAGCCCGCUCGCCGGAAGACCAAGGGUUCCUGUCCAACGUUAAUCGGGGCAGGGUGAGUCGACCCCUAAGGCGAGGCCGAAAGGCGUAGUCGAUGGGAAACGGGUUAAUAUUCCCGUACUUGGUGUUACUGCGAAGGGGGGACGGAGAAGGCUAUGUUGGCCGGGCGACGGUAGUCCCGGUUUAAGCGUGUAGGCUGGUUUUCCAGGCAAAUCCGGAAAAUCAAGGCUGAGGCGUGAUGACGAGGCACCACGGUGCUGAAGCAACAAAUGCCCUGCUUCCAGGAAAAGCCUCUAAGCAUCAGGUAACAUCAAAUCGUACCCCAAACCGACACAGGUGGUCAGGUAGAGAAUACCAAGGCGCUUGAGAGAACUCGGGUGAAGGAACUAGGCAAAAUGGUGCCGUAACUUCGGGAGAAGGCACGCUGACACGUAGGUGAAGUGAUUUACUCAUGGAGCUGAAGUCAGUCGAAGAUACCAGCUGGCUGCAACUGUUUAUUAAAAACACAGCACUGUGCAAACACGAAAGUGGACGUAUACGGUGUGACGCCUGCCCGGUGCCGGAAGGUUAAUUGAUGGGGUCAGCGCAAGCGAAGCUCCUGAUCGAAGCCCCGGUAAACGGCGGCCGUAACUAUAACGGUCCUAAGGUAGCGAAAUUCCUUGUCGGGUAAGUUCCGACCUGCACGAAUGGCGUAAUGAUGGCCAGGCUGUCUCCACCCGAGACUCAGUGAAAUUGAACUCGCUGUGAAGAUGCAGUGUACCCGCGGCAAGACGGAAAGACCCCGUGAACCUUUACUAUAGCUUGACACUGAACAUUGAGCCUUGAUGUGUAGGAUAGGUGGGAGGCUUUGAAGCGUGGACGCCAGUCUGCGUGGAGCCGACCUUGAAAUACCACCCUUUAAUGUUUGAUGUUCUAACGUGGACCCGUAAUCCGGGUUGCGGACAGUGUCUGGUGGGUAGUUUGACUGGGGCGGUCUCCUCCUAAAGAGUAACGGAGGAGCACGAAGGUUGGCUAAUCCUGGUCGGACAUCAGGAGGUUAGUGCAAUGGCAUAAGCCAGCUUGACUGCGAGCGUGACGGCGCGAGCAGGUGCGAAAGCAGGUCAUAGUGAUCCGGUGGUUCUGAAUGGAAGGGCCAUCGCUCAACGGAUAAAAGGUACUCCGGGGAUAACAGGCUGAUACCGCCCAAGAGUUCAUAUCGACGGCGGUGUUUGGCACCUCGAUGUCGGCUCAUCACAUCCUGGGGCUGAAGUAGGUCCCAAGGGUAUGGCUGUUCGCCAUUUAAAGUGGUACGCGAGCUGGGUUUAGAACGUCGUGAGACAGUUCGGUCCCUAUCUGCCGUGGGCGCUGGAAGACUGAGGGGGGCUGCUCCUAGUACGAGAGGACCGGAGUGGACGCAUCACUGGUGUUCGGGUUGUCAUGCCAAUGGCACUGCCCGGUAGCUAAAUGCGGAAAAGAUAAGUGCUGAAAGCAUCUAAGCACGAAACUUGCCCCGAGAUGAGUCUUCCCUGAGACCUUGAGUCUCCUGAAGGAACGUUAAAGACGAUGACGUUGAUAGGCCGGGUGUGUAAGCGCAGCGAUGCGUUGAGCUAACCGGUACUAAUGAACCGUGAGGCUUAACCUUACAACGCCGAAGCUGUU
rnacentral:rRNA from 1 species